UUAAGCGACUAAGCGUACACGGUGGAUGCCCUGGCAGUCAGAGGCGAUGAAGGACGUGCUAAUCUGCGAAAAGCGUCGGUAAGGUGAUAUGAACCGUUAUANNNNNCACUAUCGUUAACUGAAUACAUAGGUUAACGAGGCGAACCGGGGGAACUGAAACAUCUAAGUACCCCGAGGAAAAGAAAUCAACCGAGAUUCCCCCAGUAGCGGCGAGCGAACGGGGAGCAGCCCAGAGUCUGAAUCAGCUUGUGUGUUAGUGGAACGGUCUGGAAAGUCCGACGGUACAGGGUGAUAGUCCCGUACACCAAAAUGCACAGGCUGUGAACUCGAAGAGUAGGGCGGGACACGUGGUAUCCUGUCUGAAUAUGGGGGGACCAUCCUCCAAGGCUAAAUACUCCUGACUGACCGAUAGUGAACCAGUACCGUGAGGGAAAGGCGAAAAGAACCCCGGCGAGGGGAGUGAAAAAGAACCUGAAACCGUGUACGUACAAGCAGUGGGAGCACCUUCGGGUGUGACUGCGUACCUUUUGUAUAAUGGGUCAGCGACUUAUAUUCUGUAGCAAGGUUAACCGUAUAGGGGAGCCGCAGGGAAACCGAGUCUUAACUGGGCGUUAAGUUGCAGGGUAUAGACCCGAAACCCGGUGAUCUAGCCAUGGGCAGGUUGAAGGUUGGGUAACACUAACUGGAGGACCGAACCGACUAAUGUUGAAAAAUUAGCGGAUGACUUGUGGCUGGGGGUGAAAGGCCAAUCAAACCGGGAGAUAGCUGGUUCUCCCCGAAAGCUAUUUAGGUAGCGCCUCGUGAACUCAUCUUCGGGGGUAGAGCACUGUUUCGGCUAGGGGGUCAUCCCGACUUACCAACCCGAUGCAAACUACGAAUACCGAAGAAUGUUAUCACGGGAGACACACGGCGGGUGCUAACGUCCGUCGUGAAGAGGGAAACAACCCAGACCGCCAGCUAAGGUCCCAAAGUCAUGGUUAAGUGGGAAACGAUGUGGGAAGGCACAGACAGCCAGGAUGUUGGCUUAGAAGCAGCCAUCAUUUAAAGAAAGCGUAAUAGCUCACUGGUCGAGUCGGCCUGCGCGGAAGAUGUAACGGGGCUAAACCAUGCACCGAAGCUGCGGCAGCGACACUAUGUGUUGUUGGGUAGGGGAGCGUUCUGUAAGCCUGCGAAGGUGUGCUGUGAGGCAUGCUGGAGGUAUCAGAAGUGCGAAUGCUGACAUAAGUAACGAUAAAGCGGGUGAAAAGCCCGCUCGCCGGAAGACCAAGGGUUCCUGUCCAACGUUAAUCGGGGCAGGGUGAGUCGACCCCUAAGGCGAGGCCGAAAGGCGUAGUCGAUGGGAAACAGGUUAAUAUUCCUGUACUUGGUGUUACUGCGAAGGGGGGACGGAGAAGGCUAUGUUAGCCGGGCGACGGUUGUCCCGGUUUAAGCAUGUAGGCUGGUUGUCCAGGCAAAUCCGGAUAAUCAAGGCUGAGGUGUGAUGACGAGGCACUACGGUGCUGAAGUAACAAAUGCCCUGCUUCCAGGAAAAGCCUCUAAGCAUCAGGUAACAUUAAAUCGUACCCCAAACCGACACAGGUGGUCAGGUAGAGAAUACCAAGGCGCUUGAGAGAACUCGGGUGAAGGAACUAGGCAAAAUGGUGCCGUAACUUCGGGAGAAGGCACGCUGGUGUGUAGGUGAAGUCCCUGCGGAUGGAGCUGAGACCAGUCGAAGAUACCAGCUGGCUGCAACUGUUUAUUAAAAACACAGCACUGUGCAAACACGAAAGUGGACGUAUACGGUGUGACGCCUGCCCGGUGCCGGAAGGUUAAUUGAUGGGGUUAUCCGUAAGGAGAAGCUCUUGAUCGAAGCCCCGGUAAACGGCGGCCGUAACUAUAACGGUCCUAAGGUAGCGAAAUUCCUUGUCGGGUAAGUUCCGACCUGCACGAAUGGCGUAAUGAUGGCCAGGCUGUCUCCACCCGAGACUCAGUGAAAUUGAACUCGCUGUGAAGAUGCAGUGUACCCGCGGCAAGACGGAAAGACCCCGUGAACCUUUACUAUAGCUUGACACUGAACAUUGAGCCUUGAUGUGUAGGAUAGGUGGGAGGCUUUGAAGCGUGGACGCCAGUCUGCGUGGAGCCAACCUUGAAAUACCACCCUUUAAUGUUUGAUGUUCUAACGUUGGCCCCUGACCGGGGUUGCGGACAGUGUCUGGUGGGUAGUUUGACUGGGGCGGUCUCCUCCCAAAGCGUAACGGAGGAGCACGAAGGUUAGCUAAUCCUGGUCGGACAUCAGGAGGUUAGUGCAAUGGCAUAAGCUAGCUUGACUGCGAGCGUGACGGCGCGAGCAGGUGCGAAAGCAGGUCAUAGUGAUCCGGUGGUUCUGAAUGGAAGGGCCAUCGCUCAACGGAUAAAAGGUACUCCGGGGAUAACAGGCUGAUACCGCCCAAGAGUUCAUAUCGACGGCGGUGUUUGGCACCUCGAUGUCGGCUCAUCACAUCCUGGGGCUGAAGUAGGUCCCAAGGGUAUGGCUGUUCGCCAUUUAAAGUGGUACGCGAGCUGGGUUUAGAACGUCGUGAGACAGUUCGGUCCCUAUCUGCCGUGGGCGCUGGAGAAUUGAGGGGGGCUGCUCCUAGUACGAGAGGACCGGAGUGGACGCAUCACUGGUGUUCGGGUUGUCAUGCCAAUGGCACUGCCCGGUAGCUAAAUGCGGAAGAGAUAAGUGCUGAAAGCAUCUAAGCACGAAACUUGCCCCGAGAUGAGUUCUCCCUGAGACUUUAAGUCUCCUGAAGGAACGUU
rnacentral:rRNA from 1 species